UGAGCCAAGUUUAGGGUUUCUUAAAAACCCAAAGAUGUUUGAACUGAAGAGUUUGAUCAUGGCUCAGAUUGAACGCUGGCGGCAGGCCUAACACAUGCAAGUCGAGCGGCAGCACGGGUACUUGUACCUGGUGGCGAGCGGCGGACGGGUGAGUAA
rnacentral:rRNA from 1 species